CCAUGCCUCACCCCAGAGCUUUCAGUCUAACUGGGCUUUGCUGUCCCUUCAACUCUUUCCGGAGCAGAGGUGUUCUCAGGAAAUAUCCAAGGGAGAGUCACAGAGACCCACACCAUUGACCUUGUAAAACUGCUGUGAAGAUCAAGCAGAAGAUACCAGUUUUGAACACAUUGAAAUGCACGAAAUCUCACAGAAACAUUAGCCAGAGUGAUUUCAAAAGGUAUGUAUGUUCUAUCUUUACCCAAAUUCAACCAUUUUGAUGGUAUUGCCUUGUUUUUAGGU
rnacentral:lncRNA from 1 species